GGAAAUAAAUGACUGGAUGGUCGCUGCUUUUUAAGUUUCAAAUUGACAUUCCAGACAAGCGGUGCCUGAGCCCGUGCCUGUCUUCAGAUCUUCACAGCACAGUUCCUGGGAAGGUGGAGCCACCAGCCUCUCCCUGGCUCUGCCGACUUCCAGUUCUGGAACAAGAUGGUUAAACUCAUUUUUCCCUGCUCUGCUCCUCUAAAUACAACUAAGUACCUUGGAAACUAUUCAGCAGACAAUGAUAAAGGGCUCUGAAAGCUAGAAGAAAAGGUGUACUUGCAAGAAACCUCAGGACUUGAGUAACAGCAACAUGAACAAUCCAUUUCACAGAUGAAGAAACAGACUCAGUGAGCACGUGAUCACUUCUCACAACUAAUGGAGCCAAGAUUCUGUCCUUAUGGCUCCAGAGACCUCUUUUUUUUCCCACUGUACCACAACACUCACCAGGACUGGAGUGCCACCUAUGACCUCAUUGCAUAAUGGAUGGCUUGUCCUCAAAUGGGCCCGGCUGGAGGUACCAUGCACCUUUGAGGGACCAAGGACCCAAGACUUGAGGUAGACACUAUUCCCAGCUGGAUACUCUCAAUGUUGAGGAUAUAGAUGCACAAACCAAUGCAGGGAGGCCUCCAGGAGCCACUGGAGAAGAAAUCUUCAGAUCCUACCAGGCCCAUAGCUGUUGCCUUUGUGGGCUCCUGGGUUAAUUUCCACACAUCAGUGGCCCACCUUAUGAUAUCCUCCCUGCAUGCCACACUCCCGGCCAUGCUCUGUGGACAGCCAUUAUUUCCAGUAAUUGCUAAUGGGAGCCAGUCUCCAAAGAGUAAUGAAUCAGAGGUGUUCCUUGGAAUGUGUUACACUAGGACUUCGCCGAUCUCACAGGCUCCUUUCCAGAUGAGCUGACUGUAAUCUCUGGGAAGCUGGAUCUGGAGGAACAAUGGGAUGGGAUUUGCGGUGACCCUUCCUGCCCUUCUUGAGCAGCUUGUGAACCAGAAGAUGUGCCUGGAGAGAAAGCCUCAUUUGGGGAAGUGCAGUAGUCGAAGUUCUUUAUUUUGAAAAUGGAGAACAACCCUUCUCACAAUCCUGUCUCCCCUUCCCCCUUUCCAACUAGAAUAUCAGCUCCCCUGAACAUGAGUCAGUCACAUUUCAGGGAAAACUGGCUGAUGUUGAAGAAAUCACUUGAGGGCAAACUUUGUCCUUCAAGCUGUGGGUCUCUGAAGUGUAGAGCCAGCAGAUCCCCCAGUGUAGGGACUGGGCCUUCCUUGCCCAUUGAAUGCUUUCUAUACAUGAAGACUUGGAGCUCUUUACAGAUGACAGUAGCCAGUGAGGAAGAUAAAAGAAGAGAAAAGACCCAAAAUGCGGGUUUGCCACUCUUUUUUGCCAGCACCGUGGGGACAGUCACUCUGCCUUCUUUCCACCACCUCCAACUUCACACUCACACGCACACUCUGGUCCCACAGAGCCUGUUUGGUACUUGCCUGACAGCCCACCUUGAAACCAGAUGGUCAUGAACCUGUCACCAAGUCAUCUGAAGAUCUUCCACUGCAACCUGUAUGGCAUCUGCCACAGGGACCAUGGGACAUGAUUGAAGAACCACUCCAGUGCAGUUGAUGAAGGGGUGGGUCUGCACUGGAGUUAGGUGCACCAGGGCCUGGGCCAAGGGUGGGCUGGGUCCAUCUUGUGUGUGGUGGUCUUCUUCAGAGUAGCAGCUGAUUCAGAGGGAUUCCAUAGAACUGCACAGGCUAGGUCUAGUCAGAUAUCUUGGACAUUUUCUAUUUCUAGAUUAGAGAAUAUAGCAUACGCUGAUUUUAAUAUAACUGUGUAUGUGACUUUUUCAGUGAGAAAAAUUUUAAGUGAUGUUCUAAACAAUUUUUGGCAUGUAGACAGAAUAGUCAAAUAUCUGUUUAACUAGCAACAUAGUUACUCGUGCAUAUUUAAAAUACUACAUGAGUAUGGCCUGGCACAGUGGCUCAUGCCUGUAAUCCUAGCACUCUGGGAGGCCGAGGUGAGCAUAUUGCCUGAGUUCAGUUUGAGACCACUUUGGACAACAUGGUGAAACCCUGACUCUAUAAAAAUACAAAAAUGUAGCCAGGUGUGGUGGUGCGUGCCUGUAGUCCCGGCUACUUGGGAAGCUGAGGUGCAAGAAUUGCCUGAACCUGAGAGGCAGAGGUUGCAGUGACCUGAGAUUGUGUCACUGCACUCCAGCCUAGGUGACAGAGCAAGACUACAUCUCAAAAAAUAAAACAAAAUAAAAUAGGCCCUGUGCCGUGGCUCACGCCUGUAAUUCCAGCAUUUUGGGCAGCUGAGGCGGGCAGACCACCUGAGGUCAGGAGUUCAAGACCAGCCUGACCGACAUGGUGAAACCCCAUCUAUACUAAAUACAAAAAA
rnacentral:lncRNA from 1 species